rnacentral:rRNA from 1 species
UACGGAGGGAGCGAACGUUGUUCGGAUUUACUGGGCGUAAAGGGUGUGUAGGCGGUCUUGCAAGUCUGGGGUGAAAUCUCUCGGCUCAACCGGGAAACUGCCUCGGAGACUGCGAGACUUGAGGGCGUGAGAGGAGACUGGAAUUCCUAGUGUAGCGGUGAAAUGCAUAGAUAUUAGGAGGAACACCAGUGGCGAAGGCGAGUCUCUGGCACGCAUCUGACGCUGAGACACGAAAGCCAGGGGAGCGAACGGG